AAUGGGGUAUGCAGGUUUAUCUGGUGGAGUCAACAUUGAUGAUUGUGCCGUGCGUUUGGACAUCAUUUAGCUUAGUAUUGGUUUUUCAAUAAAACUGAGAGUAUUCAUAGUGAUCUCAUGUAGCAGUUUUUUCUUUUUUUAAAUCAAGUCGUGUAUGCUCAUGUGUUAUUAUUCCAUUGCACUUGUCAAUACUAUGUGUAUUAUUUUUGAAUUUCGAAUUGAAUAAAUCCAUCUUGGAAUAAGA